rnacentral:rRNA from 1 species
UACGUAGGGGGCAAGCGUUGUCCGGAUUCAUUGGGCGUAAAGAGCGUGUAGGCGGCUUGGCAAGUCCGUUGUGAAAACUGGAGGCUUAACCUCCAGACGUCGAUGGAAACUGCCUGGCUAGAGUCCGGAAGAGGAGAGUGGAAUUCCUGGUGUAGCGGUGAAAUGCGCAGAUAUCAAGAAGAACACCCGUGGCGAAGGCGGCUCUCUGGGACGGUACUGACGCUGAGACGCGAAAGCGUGGGGAGCGAACAGG